UACAGAGGUCUCAAGCGUUGUUCGGAUUCAUUGGGCGUAAAGGGCGCGUAGGCUGCAGGGUAAGUCGGGUGUGAAAUCUCAGGGCUUAACCCUGAAACUGCACUCGAUACUGCUCUGCUUGAGGACUGGAGAGGAGACUGGAAUUCACGGUGUAGCAGUGAAAUGCGUAGAUAUCGUGAGGAAGACCAGUGGCGAAGGCGGGUCUCUGGACAGUUCCUGACGCUGAGGCGCGAAGGCCAGGGGAGCAAACGGG
rnacentral:rRNA from 1 species